UAGGUUGUGCUGGAUGCAUUUGAAGCUCAGCCUUUGACUGAUGAUGGUGGAAUUGUGAAUAAUCUUCAGCAUGAGGAAGCUUCUUUUAACAUAAAGUAUUUGACAAGCAGUAAACUAAUGGGGUUAGAGUUGAAAGAUCCCAGUUUCCGGCGUCAUAUUCUUGUCCAAUGCCUUAUAUUGUUUGACUAUCUUAAG